rnacentral:rRNA from 1 species
CAUGGCUCAGAUUGAACGCUGGCGGCAGGCCUAACACAUGCAAGUCGAACGGUAACAGAAAGCAGCUUGCUGCUUUGCUGACGAGUGGCGGACGGGUGAGUAAUGUCUGGGAAACUGCCUGAUGGAGGGGGAUAACUACUGGAAACGGUAGCUAAUACCGCAUAACGUCGCAAGACCAAAGAGGGGGACCUUCGGGCCUCUUGCCAUCGGAUGUGCCCAGAUGGGAUUAGCUAGUAGGUGGGGUAAAGGCUCACCUAGGCGACGAUCCCUAGCUGGUCUGAGAGGAUGACCAGCCACACUGGAACUGAGACACGGUCCAGACUCCUACGGGAGGCAGCAGUGGGGAAUAUUGCACAAUGGGCGCAAGCCUGAUGCAGCCAUGCCGCGUGUAUGAAGAAGGCCUUCGGGUUGUAAAGUACUUUCAGCGGGGAGGAAGGGAGUAAAGUUAAUACCUUUGCUCAUUGACGUUACCCGCAGAAGAAGCACCGGCUAACUCCGUGCCAGCAGCCGCGGUAAUACGGAGGGUGCAAGCGUUAAUCGGAAUUACUGGGCGUAAAGCGCACGCAGGCGGUUUGUUAAGUCAGAUGUGAAAUCCCCGGGCUCAACCUGGGAACUGCAUCUGAUACUGGCAAGCUUGAGUCUCGUAGAGGGGGGUAGAAUUCCAGGUGUAGCGGUGAAAUGCGUAGAGAUCUGGAGGAAUACCGGUGGCGAAGGCGGCCCCCUGGACGAAGACUGACGCUCAGGUGCGAAAGCGUGGGAGCAAACAGGAUUAGAUACCCUGGUAGUCCACGCCGUAAACG